AAAAUACCUGAAAAUCUAAUUUUUUACAAUAUGGGACCUUUAAAACGAUAAAUGAUGACAGGGAAUUUUCCUCCCCGCGGCCGUGCCAAGAGCAGGAGGGGAAAAUCAACUCCAUUCAACUAUUUGUCAACUCCUUUAGAAACAUUUAAUAGUAAUAAAAUUUAUGGCUCCAGUUUCCAAAGGAUACUGCCAGUGAAGUUCAUCUCUACGAGAGGUGGUUGUAAAUGC